UUCGGGAAACCGGAGCUAAUACCGGAUAAUAUUUUGAACCGCAUGGUUCAAAAGUGAAAGACGGUCUUGCUGUCACUUAUAGAUGGAUCCGCGCUGCAUUAGCUAGUUGGUAAGGUAACGGCUUACCAAGGCAACGAUGCAUAGCCGACCUGAGAGGGUGAUCGGCCACACUGGAACUGAGACACGGUCCAGACUCCUACGGGAGGCAGCAGUAGGGAAUCUUCCGCAAUGGGCGAAAGCCUGACGGAGCAACGCCGCGUGAGUGAUGAAGGUCUUCGGAUCGUAAAACUCUGUUAUUAGGGAAGAACAUAUGUGUAAGUAACUGUGCACAUCUUGACGGUACCUAAUCAGAAAGCCACGGCUAACUACGUGCCAGCAGCCGCGGUAAUACGUAGGUGGCAAGCGUUAUCCGGAAUUAUUGGGCGUAAAGCGCGCGUAGGCGGUUUUUUAAGUCUGAUGUGAAAGCCCACGGCUCAACCGUGGAGGGUCAUUGGAAACUGGAAAACUUGAGUGCAGAAGAGGAAAGUGGAAUUCCAUGUGU
rnacentral:rRNA from 1 species